rfam:Ornithorhynchus anatinus chromosome X1, whole genome shotgun sequence.
GGGCAAGUCAAGGCAGCACAUAUACUAAAAUUGGAACGAUACAGAGAUUAGCCUAGCCCUUGCGCAAGGAUGACACGCAAAUUUGUGAAGCGUUCCAUAUUUUU